AGAGUUUGAUCCUGGCUCAGAUUGAACGCUGGCGGCAUGCCUUACACAUGCAAGUCGAACGGCAGCACGGGGGGUAACUCCUGGUGGCGAGUGGCGAACGGGUGAGUAAUAUAUCGGAACGUGUCCUGUAGCGGGGGGAUAACCUAUCGAAAGAUGGACUAAUACCGCAUACGCUCUACGGAGGAAAGCGGGGGUCCUUGGGCAACUGAGGACCUCGCAUUAUAGGAGCGGCCGAUAUCGGAUUAGCUAGUUGGCGGGGUAAAAGCCCACCAAGGCGACGAUCCGUAGCUGGUCUGAGAGGAUGAUCAGCCACACUGGAACUGAGACACGGUCCAGACUCCUACGGGAGGCAGCAGUGGGGAAUUUUGGACAAUGGGCGCAAGCCUGAUCCAGCCAUGCCGCGUGAGUGAAGAAGGCCUUCGGGUUGUAAAGCUCUUUCGGCAGGAACGAAAUGGUUCGUGCUAAUACCGCGGACUGAUGACGGUACCUGAAGAAGAAGCACCGGCUAACUACGUGCCAGCAGCCGCGGUAAUACGUAGGGUGCAGGCGUUAAUCGGAAUUACUGGGCGUAAAGCGUGCGCAGGCGGUUUCUUAAGUCAGAUGUGAAAGCCCCGGGCUUAACCUGGGAACUGCGUUUGAAACUGGGAGACUUGAGUGUGGCAGAGGGGGGGAAUUCCACGUGUAGCAGUGAAAUGCGUAGAUAUGUGGAGGAACACCGAUGGCGAAGGCAGCCCCCUGGGUUAACACUGACGCUCAUGCACGAAAGCGUGGGGAGCAAACAGGAUUAGAUACCCUAGUAGUCC
rnacentral:rRNA from 1 species